rnacentral:rRNA from 1 species
UACGGGGGGAGCAAGCGUUGUUCGGAUUUACUGGGCGUAAAGCGCACGUAGGCGGAUCUUUAAGUCAGAGGUGAAAUCCCAAGGCUCAACCUUGGAACUGCCUUUGAUACUGGGGAUCUUGAGUCCGGGAGAGGUGAGUGGAACUGCGAGUGUAGAGGUGAAAUUCGUAGAUAUUCGCAAGAACACCAGUGGCGAAGGCGGCUCACUGGCCCGGUAUUGACGCUGAGGUGCGAAAAGCGUGGGGAGCAAACAGGG